rnacentral:rRNA from 1 species
CCUACGGGGUGCACCGGUGGGGAAUAUUGCACAAUGGGCGCAAGCCUGGUGCAGCCAUGCCGCGUGUAUGAAGAAGGCCUUCGGGUCGUAAAGUACUUUCAGCGGGGAGGAAGGCGAUAAGGUUAAUAACCUUGUCGAUUGACGUUACCCGCAGAAGAAGCACCGGCUAACUCCGUGCCAGCAGCCACGGUAAUACGGAGGGUGCAAGCGUUAAUCAGAAUUACUGGGCGUAAAGCGCACGCAGGCGGUCUGUCAAGUCGGAUGUGAAAUCCCCGGGCUCAACCUGGGAACUGCAUUCGAAACUGGCAGGCUGGAGUCUUGUAGAGGGGGGUAGAAUUCCAGGUGUAGCGGUGAAAUGCGUAGAGAUCUGGAGGAAUACCAGUGGCGAAGGCGGCCCCCUGGACAAAGACUGACGCUCAGGUGCGAAAGCGUGGGGAGCAAACAGGAUUAGAUACCCGCGUAGUC